rnacentral:rRNA from 1 species
CCUACGGGUGGCUGCAGUGGGGAAUAUUGCACAAUGGGGGAAACCCUGAUGCAGCGACGCCGCGUGAGUGAAGAAGUAUUUCGGUAUGUAAAGCUCUAUCAGCAGGGAAGAAAAUGACGGUAUCUGAUUUAGAAGCCCCGGCUAACUACGUGCCAGCAGCCGCGGGAAUACGUAGGGGGCAAGCGUUAUCCGGAUUUACUGGGUGUAAAGGGAGCGUAGACGGCAGGACAAGUCUGGAGUGAAAUGCCCGGGCUUAACCCCGGAACUGCUUUGGAAACUGUGCAGCUUGAGUGCAGGAGAGGUAAGUGGAAUUCCUAGUGUAGCGGUGAAAUGCGUAGAUAUUAGGAGGAACACCAGUGGCGAAGGCGGAUUACUGGACUGUAACUGACGUUGAGGCUCGAAAGCGUGGGGAGCAAACAGGAUUAGAUACCCUAGUAGUC